UUGAGUUAUUUAUUUUAAUAUUAAUUCAUAUGUAUGUUUUUGCGAUUUUUAAUUUCUUAAUGAAGUUGAAUUUUUCUUGCAGUGGAUUAUUUUAUUGAUAUUAAGGUAGUUUAGAUUUGGUAAAUAUUGAAAGAAUUGGUAAAAGUUGUGCCAGCAUCCGCGGUUAUACAACAAAUUCAAAUAAAUAUUAUUGGUUUUUAAGUAAUUAUUGUUUAAUAAUGUAAAAUUUAAAAUAUUGUAAAGUGAAAUUUGAAUACUAAAGAAAUACAUUAAGUGGUAGCAAGAUUUAGUUAUUAAAGUAAAAAAAUUAAACUAGGAUUAGAUACCCUAUUAUUUUUAUUGUAAAGUUAAUUUAAAACUAAAGUAUUAAUAGGUAAGACCUUAAAACUUAAAGAAUUUGGCGGUAUUAUAGUCUGUUUAGAGGAAUCUGUUAUGUAAUUGAUAAUCCGCAUUGAACCUUACUUAUAUUAAUUCUUGUAUAUCGCUGUUUAAGAAUAUAUUUUAAGAUAAUUAUCUAAAUAAAAAAGUUAUUAAUAUUUCAAGUCAAGGUGCAGUAAUAUAUAAGUUGAAUAAUGGAUUACAAUAAAAUUUAUUUAAACGGAUUAAUAAUUGAAAUUUUAUUUAAAAGGUGGAUUUAAAAGUAAUUUUAUGGAGAUUGUUAAAAUGAUUUUUAGCUCUAUAAUAUGUACACAUCGCCCGUCAUUCUCAUUAUUAAGAUGAGACAAGUCGUAACAAAGUAGGCGUAUCGGAAGAUGUGCCUAGAAAGGUGAAAUUAUUUA
rnacentral:rRNA from 1 species